AAAACAAGCCUUCUGCUUUUUCUCCAGGGUUCUUUCUCCCAGCAUCACUUAUUAAUGCUAAUUAGUCAAGGGUGUGCCAUGAUGCAGAACACUUGUGACCCAUAAGGAUUAGAGAGAGACUGUCAUUUCUCAAAUGACCCACGAGAGGCAGCCAGAGGCAGUGACGGGGAAGGAGAGGAGGGGAAGAGGAACUUCUCUGCAAAGAAUCGCACUAAAGUUCACCUGGGAUCUCCCAAAUAUGCAAUCUCACUUCUAAGAAUCUGUCUUAUAAGAAUAAAAACACCAGGACAUAAUGAUAUUUUCAAAAGGAUAUUAUUUUACCAUGUUUCAAGACAAGGUUUUGCUGUGUCACCCAGGCUGGGAUGCAGUGGUGCAAUCAUAAAUCACUGCAGGCUUGAACUCCUGGGCUUAAGUAAGCCUCUCACCUUAGCCUCCCAAGUAGCUGUGACCAUAGGCAUGUGCCACCACAUCCAGCUAAUUUAAAUUAUUUUUUGUUUGUAGAGACAGGAUCUUGUAGUGUUGUCUAGACUUGUCUCAAACUCCUAGCCUCAAGUAAUCCCUCCACCUUUAUCCCCUAAAGCACUGGGAUUACAGGUGUGAGCCACCAUGACCAGCCUGUUUAUGUCUUUAUAUCUGUAUAAACUUAAAAAAUAUGGAAGGUCAUAUGCUGAUAGGGAUGGAAAGCACUACUGGGGAGGUGGGGAAAGAAGAAGAUGGAGGAGAAGAGAAUAAUAAAAUAAUUAGGAAAGAUUGUAUUAAAGACAAGUAUAAAAAUUACAAUACCCACUUCAAAAAUCAGCUACAUUUUAAAUCUUUGUUUCCUUGAAUGCCUCAGCUUACUAUAA
rnacentral:lncRNA from 10 species